rnacentral:rRNA from 1 species
AGAGUUUGAUCCUGGCUCAGGAUGAACGCUGGCGGCGUGCCUAAUACAUGCAAGUCGAACGGAGACAUUAGCAAUAAUGUCUUAGUGGCGAACGGGUGAGUAACGCGUUGGUGACCUGCCCCGAAGAGGGGGAUAACAGUCCGAAAGGAUUGCUAAUACCCCAUGUGGUCGUUUGGAUUAGAUGCCUUAUGACUAAACGGAUUUAUUCGCCUCGGGAGGGGCCUGCGUCCCAUCAGCUAGUUGGUAGGGUAAUAGCCUACCAAGGCGAUGACGGGUAGGGGACCUGAGAGGGUGGCCCCCCACAAUGGAACUGAAACACGGUCCAUACACCUACGGGUGGCAGCAGUAGGGAAUAUUGGUAAUCUGGGAAACCGGGAACCAGCAACGCCGCGUGCGCGAUGAAGGCCUUCGGGUUGUAAAGCGCUUUUUGAAGGGAUGAGGAAGGACAGUACCUUCAGAAUAAGCCUCGGCUAACUACGUGCCAGCAGCCGCGGUAAAACGUAGGAGGCGAGCGUUAUCCGGAUUUACUGGGCGUAAAGCGUGUGUAGGCGGUUUGAUAAGUUGGAUGUGAAAGCUCCUGGCUCAACUGGGAGAGGUCGUUCAAAACUAUCAGACUCGGGAGUGGUAGAGGGAGGUGGAAUUCCGCGUGUAGUGGUGAAAUGCGUAGAUAUGCGGGGGAACACCAGUGGCGAAAGCGGCCUCCCUGGCCCAUUUCUGACGCUCAGACACGAAAGCUAAGGUAGCAAACGGGAUUAGAGACCCCGGUAG